rnacentral:rRNA from 1 species
UGCCAGCAGCCGCGGUAAUACGGAGGAUUCGAGCGUUAUCCGGAUUUAUUGGGUUUAAAGGGUGCGUAGGUGGUUUUAUAAGUUAGUGGUAAAAGGCAGUGGCUCAACCAUUGUGCGCCAUUAAAACUGUAGAACUAGAGAGCAGAUGCAGCUGGCGGAAUGUGUAGUGUAGCGGUGAAAUGCAUAGAUAUUACACAGAACACCGAUUGCGAAGGCAGCUGGCUAAUCUGUUUCUGACACUGAGGCACGAAAGCGUGGGGAUCAAACGGGAUUAGAUA